GAAAUAUCGAGCCGUGUACUUUUGACACGACAUUAUAUAGAAAGUUUGAGAAUUUGUAUCGUAUAGGGAUGUGCCGCGGUCGGAAAUCUUUGCAAGAGAUUGGCGAUGAAAGCCGCGACGGGGAACAGGAGGUAAAAAUGAAGGACGUUUAUAUACAUGUAUUAUACUUACGCUAAGUCACUAGUAAUGUGUAGUAGAGGUUCAGAGGGCGGUGAGUUCCCCGGGGCGAUAUAUCUCAGCUUGCAAAUGUCUCGCAGAACAAGGCAGGAAUCAUACCCGCACCGGAACUAGGUCAGGGUAGCCCGCCAAAUGCGUGGAUCAGUUUUAUUUUCAAUUCGUCACCGACUAUCAUAAGAGUAAAAGUUGAGAUACACAAUAAAAUGUCAACGUUUUUUAAUUUUUUGUACAUUCAUUCAAUUGCUUUUGGUGGCGCAGACUUGACGACUCAACCUCGUAGCAGUUUAAUCACAUUAGCAAUUGGAGCAAACUGACCGUAACUCAGGUGAUCUCGAUGCAAGGAUAAGCGUCUCAAUAGGUGUCUGGUAUCAUUUAGAUGCUAAAAAAAUAUCCAAUGAGAGCCACUGCUUUGCCAUGAGUCAGUCCAGUACGCGAGCAGAGCCAACAAUAAGGACUCGCUGUGUAGUGCGAGGCCCCCGGGGUGAUUCGCCAAAAUGACCAUGACCAUAUUACGGGACAGAGGCUCCCAAUCAACCAGCAAUUACUACCAGUAACAAAAAAAAACGUCAUCAUCAAUAAGUCGAUAAAAAAUUAAGUGCUCCAUAAUAUCCAUUUGAAAGCUCGAUAGUGCGACACUUGCGAAAAAAAUUAAGUAAAUCAACUCAACGAUCGAUUGAAGAAACUCUUGCAACUAUAGUUAUGUAUAUAUGUAUAUUAACAUCGAAAAUUGAACAGAUUGAAUAAUUUAUACGCUAGAUGUUAUUGAUGGAAGGCAAUAGUAUUUCUUUUAAUUUUUUUUUUUUCCGUAUUGCCGCCUCUACUAUACUACUGUCAUUCUAUGCUAAAUGACAUAUGAAUAUAUAUGUAUAUAAUGUCAAGAGGAACCAGGAUAGAUGUAAAAAACGUUGCGAAAUAGAAUAUUCGCUGGCGGCUACAAUCUCAUUAUCGUUAAAGUUAAAAGAAAUUAUGCUCUAAUCUUGAUUCAAAAGAGCGAUAGCUUAGUCAAUUGUGUAGACGAUUGCUACAGCACUUUAAGAUCUAAUGUUACGUUAAAAAUAUUAUUUAUUGUGAAAGAGAUUCUGCUAUUAAAGACGGAUCAGGAGAAACAGAACAGAAUACAUACAGACCCGGAAAGUUCUAGGAGAAUCUCGUACUCAUAGGCUGCAAAAAAUGCGAAGCGGAUGACUGUUUAUUUAUUGAGUGAAAUUCCCUCCGAAGGGGAGUUUAUUUUGAUAUUAAAACUCCAGUCCAGAGUAAACGCGGAUUUAAAUAAAAUCCAGAUCACUCCGAAAUCAUUCAGAUAAAAAAACAAACUCCGUAUUCGGAGUGAUUUUUUAUAAGACUCCGAGUGACUGAGUGAAUUUUGAUAGAAAUAAAAUCAGUAAUUACUCCGAAUCCACUCCUAUUUUUUUACAGUGUCCACUUACUAUCAGACUGUAAGAAAGUUGCGGAAUGAACGCGGAGUAAAUAGGGAGUGAAUACGAAGCGGAUGACUAUUUAUUUAUUUAAUUUCCUCGGAGUGAAAUUCACUCUGGAGGAAGUUUACUUUAAUAUUGAAAAUCCAGAUCGGAGUGACCGCACGUUGAAGUAAAAUCCAGAUCACUCCGAAAUCAUUCAGCUGAAGAAGCAAACGCCCUAUUUACUCCAUAUUCGGAGUAAUUUUUUCUACGACUCCGAGUGAAUUCGGAUUUCAGUAAAAUCCGUAAUCACUCCGAAAUCACUCCCGAUUUUUUACAGUCUCUAUAUGUUUUAAUGAUAAAACAAAUAAAAAAAAAAAUGUACAGCACGAGAUUAAUAAUUGCCUCGGGCUAAGCAAGUACGCUGUCAGACAAACUUAAAAUCCCUUGACCCAGUAUAUAUCGUAGUCAACAUGUUCAAUACUAUAUACAUAUAAUGUACAUCACCCCA